rnacentral:sRNA from 1 species
AAAACAAAACACAACAGACUCAUCGUUUCUCAUUGGAUCAGUGCUGGGGCUUCAAAGAGGCCUGCUCAUCCCCAUGCUCUUGCGACCCUUUGCCGGAUGCCUCCCUACAGCAGCCGUGCAGAACAGAACUCUUUCUAAAACGUCACCCACAGCAGACGCCAGUGCUUCAGCCAUGGCUUGAACGUUCUCACGUCUCCCACUAUUAUCUGCAUCUGAGUUCUCUUUACUCCCCUUAAACUACGACCGUGAAAGAGAGCGAUUUCUACAUCAUUUAGUUAUUUAUCUCCGUAAUACUCAGGAGUGAAAUUUUUAAAAGUGGCUACCAUUACUCUUGCUGCUAACAAUUGGCAGCUAUCCUGGGGAAGUGGUACGCGGGAUGAAAUGAGCCCCUGUAGGAAACAUGGCCUUUUCUUGUUUCUAAUAUUUUUUCGUCUUUGGUGUCAUCAGUCAAAUUAAUCUAUUUUCUCUUUCCACAUGACUCUCCAAAGUGAGAGAGAAGUUAAGGGUUUGAAGAGGCUGUUCUGGGCUUCCCACUGAACAUGGGGCUUAGGAUGUGGCUGGGCACCUGCUUCCCUUAACCCCUUGAGAUCUGAGAAUUCAGAACCCUUUCCUGUAGCCUAGCAAAAACAAAAACAGGAACAAACAAGGUGGGGGUGGGGUAUGUGGUGGCAUGGGGUGGGGGAUGUAUUACAGAAUACCAGUGCUGGUAUCAUGUUUCUCUUCCCCAUCUCCAUGUCCUAUUCCUCUUCUUCAUUUAUUAUUGUUUUAAAAAAUAACUCAUUGUGUCCAAUUAGUGGUACCUAUUCAUGGCACCAUCCACUAGAGCUUAAAAAAUACACAGACUCUACCUCAUGCUCAUGUAUACUCGAGGGUACAGACCUGACAGUAUACAGAAGACAAGAGAGAACAAUGUAAAGGGCUGAGAGAAAUACAAGUUCUGAGACUUGGGGAGGCACGGUCUCUAUGUAGGAUCCGUGAGUGCCCGGGCAUACUUGGAACUGACACCCGCCGGGACCUACAGGAUGGAGACCUAGCAGGUUAUUGAUUUUGCAGGUGUCUGAAUUUGAAGUGACAAAUUACUUGGUUACAGUCAGCUUUAGUGUUGCCUUCUUUACACAACUACACUAACACAUUUCUAGGCAACUUUGAGGACUCUUAAAAUUAAAACGUUUUAUAAAUAACAAAGCCACAGAGGGAAAACCAGGUGUAUUUACUAUUAUCAAAGUUCAUCUCCAUGUGCGUGUCUGAACAUAGCAACAGCAGCACAGAGGGAUCGCCUCAGUUACCCUGCUCCUCUGGAUCAUUUAGCUGCUGGCUAUGGUAUAGAGCUUCCAUGGUAUAGGACUUCUAUGUUCUAGAACUCCCAUGGUAUAGAACUUCUAUGGUAUAGAACUUCUAUGGUGUAGAGCUUCCAUGGUGUAGAGCUUCUUGUUCCAUCUCUGACUCCUUCCCCUUGCCCUCUGCUACAUGUGCUAUUCCCUCCAUCCCAUGCCAUUCAGAGAACACAGCCCUACACUCCUGCAGAGGCAGACUCAGGUACCUCACAUCUCUGUGUCUAAUCCCUUUGGGGGGGGGGUGAGGAUACACAGCCACCAAGUCUUGUGAAGCUAUGCCAGCCAUCUCAGCCAUUCCCCCGACACAUUCGUGACAUCCUCCUGCCGUAGAGGCUGAGGAUUUAUGUGACUUUAAUUGAAGGCUACAGAAGGGACAGGGAAACAUCAGCUCCUAUCAAUCACCGCGUCCCUUGCUUUCAUUGUGUACUUAACAGCUUGUUACUUAUUCAGGAGGGGGAUUCUGCACUGAGUCUGUCUCCGUGCAAACAGUCUUCCCAGGCUGAAGAAAGCCCUGAAACAGGGAGGUGGCCUCAUUAGGCACACAGGCCUGUGCCGCAUACCGAAACAUGGAGACACAGUGCUGAUGACCACGACUACAGUGGGGGAGUCAAGGGUUCCAGCAUCCUCCCGCUUUCCUGUCUAUGUCCCCGCAAGACUUCCCAGGCGUGUUUGACACCAUGGCCCUUUGUUGUGUUUUCAAAGCGAUCCUUGCUUGGCUCUUCUCAACAAUGAACUCUGCGACUGUUUAACUGAAAUCUCCUAUGGGGGGAACUUGAUGUCUGGUUUACUGUGCUCUCUUACAGAAUGCCUGCAGCACAGCAGACCCCUGAAGGAGCGAGCAUACGGCUGCAUGCACGUGAGGAAUGCUAACACUCAGUCUUGGUUCUGACUCCCCUUUUACCUUACGCCUCUACGCCAUCUGUAGAGGCUUGAGGACCCUUCAUCUUUAUCUUUUCUAAGGGCCAUCCUUUAGGGGGCUCAUUCAAGACCCAGUACGGUUAUCACCCGGCUCUCAGGUACUGCCUUGGCGUGUGAUGCUGAACUGUUCCUCCUGACCCCCAGGCAGAUCUCAGUCCCAAGUUUACCCGCCCAAGGUUUUGCUUCCCAACUUAGCUCAGCCCACUACCCUGGUGGUCGAAGUUAGGUUCCUACUUGCCAGUCGUUUCCCACUGAGCUACUGAUGUGUCUGACCCUGCGGACAGGCUCUUCUGUGAACCAAGGAAGAUGUCACCUGGGAACCAGUUAGAGGUCGCUUGGGCCUUUGUGUGGUCUUUAAAAUAAGGGGGUUUGCAAGCCAAUGAUGCGUAUUUUCUUAAUCCGUUUCACACAGAAGAAGGGGUUUUAGUGUGAGAUUUGCAAUCUUGUUCUUCAUCUAUUUCCCUAUUUCAACCUGACUACCUGGUUCAAAUUACCAACUGAUACCUGGGUAGGUUAUCAUGCAGAGAUAAGUGCCCCCUGCCCCACUGCGCCCCCAACAAUGGAGCAAACAUGACGGUCACCAUACAUGUGACUUCAGUAGUCCCUGGUGGGUGGGCAUGGAGUGACAGUGACCAUCAUGAGCCAACACAGUGAGCCUACAACCUUGAGCUGAAUAUACAAGGUUCCCAUGGGUCUGACACGCCCCGGGGAGUUUCCAUUCCUCUGCCCUAAACCUCUAGGGUUACUGGGAAUUUCUCCAAGGGCACAGGGAAGUGCUUGUGCUUGGAUUCAGAUUCCCCAAACAACAAGGAAAAAACCCAGGGGGCUCAGCGAGCCCCUCUGGAGGUCUGAACAGGUGAGACUGGCAGCUCUGCCUUGGGUUCCACUGGUGGUGGCCGAGUUGGCAGCCAUAGAGAUUUGCUGUGGCAGAAUACUUAAAGAUGUUCACACAGAGGGACAGAAGGGACAGUCGUUCAUUGUCCUCCUAUGGGACUCCAUCACUUGAAAAGUAAGGCCUAGAAAUUACAAUAUCAGCCGACUUCCAUACAUCCAUUUCCUUCACAAUGGUUGGCAUAUGCUGAGAAGGGAAUGCUCGGAGGGGCUGCUCACCACCACCCGGCCUUGCAAAGAACAAGGACACAGGAAGGAAGAAACGCAAUCACUAGCCCAAGGAAGAGACACCCAGGGAUGGGCACCAUUGUGUAGGAUGAGGUGAGGGAUAAUACAAAUUAUGAUUUCAGACCCUGGUAGGCAAGCUACACCAUGUUCUUUUCACAUCUGAAUCUCUGUACAGCAUGUUCUUGGUGACUACAGUCAAGGUCCUUGGAACACUCACAGUAGCUUACUUGAGUUUUUAAAAAGCCAGGUAUAAAUAUCAAUGCUGCUGCAGAGUACGCAGAAUAAAAUUUAACAUCUUUUGAGGGAGUCUUACUUCUGAGGCGCUGUUUGAAGUGCUUUAAGUGUCCUAUCUCGUUAGAUUUACAAUUCGCCAUCCUGUGAAAUCAGUCCUGUGGUCUCUGCCCUUUGCCAUACGAUCACAGACAGGCCCUGGGCAUGGCAAGUUUCUGGGAACAUACAGAUACUGAGCCAUGAAGUUGAGGGAGACUCUUCCCUUCCUUCUUUCCUUCUGAAGAUAAGGAGGGUCUCCCAGCAGCUGGGCUCUAGCUCACCCCCACUAUCCUCCUGGUUCAGCAGGUCAAGUACCAGAAUAAGGAGGCUGGAGCUUAGCUGACUGCCCCAUCUCAGGAGAACUACAGAGCAAGCAUCAGGAAGACAGGCAUAUACUCUGAGCCACAAGAGGAAGCCAGCAGAGAAACCUGUGUGUCCCACACAGAAUAGCCCUUGGAAAAGUGGUUUUACAUCAGGUCAGUUUCGCCUUUAAUGUGUUUGUUGGCCUCCUGCUGAGACAGAAUAGGUUCACCUUGUGAGCAGGCAAGCUCAGGCUGCCAGCCCUCAGCUCUUCAGAGCCACCCAGAGUUUUCCCAGGGCAAAGGCUUCCUGUCUCCCUCCCUUCAGUGUCCCCUACCUAGCUCUCAUGGUGGCAGCCUCUAUACCUAAAAUAUCAUAGUGCCUCAUGUCCCCCCAGUCCUCUCUGGGUUCCCUUAGUCCCCCCACCCCCGACCCAUACGCCCUGAAACCCAGCAAACCUGACCCUGCCUACAGUUGCCCAAUUGACGCAGAGCACAGUUCCGAACCCGUUCUCUCCCAUGCCUCUUUGGAGACUUUUCUUCCCUGUGAGCCACUCCGAGGCUACCACUCACACCUGUUUCAGUGUACCAGGCUGGCACGAUGCUUCAUGUCCUUUGUGGACACAGUGUGGCUUCUUUGGAAGCUUUUUUCAGAAUGGUCUAUGAAACGCCCCACUCCCCACAGCACCAGCCCAGCCUCAGCCUGGCUAUGGAAGCUGGGUGUGUCUGGGGUCCUGCAAGCGGUACCAGAGAGGCAAGGGUGGGAAAGCACCUCCCCCACUUUCCAGAGGCCAAUCAUUGUCUAAGGUAACCGUGAUUCCAAGUACAUGCCCUUUCACAGCUGGCCCACAUUCCAGGACAACAUCCAACAGAGAGCAGAGCCCUUCCAAAGGCAGAAUGAAUGGCUUUCCCGGUAUUAACUCCCUGGUGUUUAAUGUCCGUGGACUCUGCAGAGAGCCACCUCCGAGAAUCCUGCAGGCAUAAUUGCCUUUCUUGCACUAGACCAGACCUCCGCAUCUCAAUGUGGUUGUGGGGCACUGCCCAGAAUUAAGAACUACAGGAGUCAAAGAGACACAGCUGGAUUACUGACCCUAGAAGGACGGGGCGGCCUGCCUGCUCCAGACCUUGCUGGGAGGUGAAGGCUAUCGUGGGAAAAUGACUACGUAUGAGAGACAAGGAGAGUCCACUAGUGAGAGAGACAAUGCACUUAUUCUACGACGGGGUGGACUGCCUCGUCCUCAUUAAUGGUGGAAACUGAAGAGUAAUACUCCAUUUCACUAGGGACUGUUGUUAAAACAAGUCUCAAAGAGGAUAUAAGGAAUGGAACCAUUACCAGACCUGCAACCCACUGAUGAUGCAGAAGCCACUCGGCCAGGAAAACAAGAGAAGGGGCAACAGAGAAGUGAGAGGUGAGGGAGAGGCUUGCUUGGGGUAUGCUGGGUCGGGGCUCACUGGGGUCGGGGCUAGCUGGGGCCAGGCCGAGAAACAGAAGCUGUGCACUGAAGGCCAGUGUUGUGAUGAACUAAGACAGUCCUUUCAGUUCCACUGGGAAACAGUUUCAAGUGGCCAUCACCAUCUGAAGGCCAGGUAUGGGAACUCAUUUUUUCUUCAGAGUGUGGAAUGGGUGCCAGAACCCUGACAACUGUACACCUCAGGAAUGGCUGCCGUGGAGAGUGGGGUGCUCUCCUCGCAGCUUAGUGCUGACUACUCCUGAGGCCUGGGCUGGGUUCUGGGCUGGGAACCUAUAAGCCAAUCCACCUUUCUGGAACACAGAGAGCAUGUAUAAGAAAGCCAGAAUACUCUCCCAGACGUCACUGGAACCAUCUACUGUGCUGCGGUGACAGAGGCCCUGCGAUGUCUGACCCCUCAGAAACUCUCGCUGACUUCUGCCAUGUUCACAGUGAAGUCUGCCCUCCCAGAUGCAAAUCUCUGAAGCCAGAAAACCCCUCCAGGUUUCUCCUUUUCAAACUGUGGCCAGAGGGUGGCAAUCAAAACUAAUUCAAUAGGACACACCGUGGGGAGGGGAUGGGGCUGCAUGCACAGACAGGUACAGUACUGAAGUCGAAUGAGUUUUCACAAGACUGACUGUUUCUGAAGACAUAUCAAGAAAUGUGUUCUGUGGAAGAGGAGCUGGGCAGCCCUUUCCUGAAGAAAGAGACAGACACGUCACAGGAGAUGGGACAGCUGUGCAUUUGCCCCAUGGGACCAGCAUGACUUCCCACCUGGCUGAGUGCUCACCACACAGGUGAGCCUGGCUUCUGGCUCAUUCCUGUGUGUGCUUGCGAUUCUUGUGUAUCUUAAGCUUCUGCAUGGUAUGGAGCGCUGACCAGGAGGUUGGUACUAUCUAUUGAGUCAGUUAAUGAGCCUGGUCACUCCUCCUAAUGUCCUGGUUCUGACACAACCUUCUGUCCCUGCAGAAGGCUUCAUCUUGGCAGCAGGUGUGGACUCUUCUUGCCAGUGUGGCCUGACCAGAGACAUUUCUACCUCCUGUUAUUUUCUAGAUCCCCGUGAGUGCUCAUCAUCCAACAUGAGGGCCAGCACUGCAUCUUCUGAGACAAGGCAGAUGGGGAGAAGUUCAAGGGGACAGUGUCACACUGUCUGUCUGGAUGCUGUGUGUCCUCCCAAGGCAAUCUCUAAGAACCAUGCCAAGGCUUCUUAAAAAUGUCCAGCUCAGGUUUCUCCACAUGGAGGGAGUGAAGUUCAGGCCUUGAGCUUUUACUAAAGAGUUUACUUUUUUAUUGACUAGUGAAGCAGGCUCCCUUAGGGUUGUCGAGGCCAGGGAAGGGGGAGGUAAUUUUAUGCUUAUAUGGUGUCCGUUAGUCUCUGGGUGCCAUGACGCCCUCCUUCCUAACCAUGGAGCUGUGCUCUGUCUUAAGAGUAACUAAGGGCUCACAGGGAGGUGCCAUUCACAUGGGUGAAUUUGAUCCUCACCAUGUGAGGUACCUGUUCAGGGCCUGUUCUUCUGUUUCCUAGCUUGCCUUCCUCAUCUACAAUCUGUGGAUACUCUCGACGCCUACCUCUGUACUCACGCCAACAAGCUGGUGAGUUCUGCCCAGGGAUGGAGACCCAUCUGCAUAGAGAGCUGCUCUGCUGAGCUACCAAACACUCCUUCCACCUUGAUACACUCGGGAGGCUCCGAUAACUUCCAGGACAGCACAGGAUUUGAACCUUGUGACUAUGGAUGGUAUGCAGCUAGUGAGAGCGACUUCAUCCUACAGUGGCCAUGAGAUGAUGGAUGGACAGCAGAUGCUAUCAAUCUAUGGAUUCUCUGAACUGAAACGACCAAGCCUCUUACUAAGAUUGCUGCAGUUUGGAAUUCGAUAUCUUUUGGUAUCAAACCUACAAUGUGACUGUGAAUUACUGUUUCCACGUGGGAAGAUGAGAAUGUUCCCCCUGGUACUUCCUACCACAGUGAUUUCCCUCAUGCAUGGAUGAAGCAAUAAAACAUAUGAUGGGUUGGAACUCUGAAAAUGUGAGCCCAGAUUCUACCUUCUCUUAAGUCAGAUAUGUACUGAGAUGAAUACACCAUAACCAUUCUUUUACGGAGGCGAAGUUAUUCUCUGAGGUAAUCGUGAAGCUGAGUCCUAGCAAAGGUUUGUAAGGAGAUGCCUAGCAGACAUUUCUAGCAUGUAACAAAUGCCACCAGGGUCACCCAGAAUGAAGAACGAAUGCCCAGACUCACGGACAGUCCCUGUUCUGAAGGCCACCAGCUGGGCCUUUCUAGGCCAAGGACCUGGGCAUUGUUGUUGAAUGGAGGAGGAGGAGCGUUCAGAGAACUCCACUGGUCAUGUAUAAAUUUGGGAAGUCCAACAGGAUCUACGGCUACCGGUUGUUAACCAUGGAAAUGGUAUGGCCAACACUUCAAAGACUUAGUGUUUCUGGAGGUCCCAGCCAGGUAAGUUUGAGAUGACUCAGACAUCGGCAUUAUUGACGCCCAUCUAAGCAUCUAUCCUAGCAUGAGGUUUUCCUCUGGUUAUGCCAAAGCUCUUUCAUGUUCUUAUUUUGUGUUGAAUGAAAACAUCGGAAUUUCCAGAAUCCCGGAUAUCUGCAUUUGAAAGACCUCAAUGGGGGACUCGGAGGUCCUUGACUUUGCCGAGCUUCAGUAAGGAGGGACAUGUCUCCUCUCUUAGGACUGUUGGGAGGACUAAGUACAACCAUACAUGUCAGUCCUGGAACAAGGCCCUGUUCAUUCCUUCAUCAGUCAGAUUUUCCUCGCUGAGACCAGACGCCAGAGAGAGAAACUCAGAGGAGCAUGUUCCAAAGCUUCUGAGGCCUUGGUCUGAUUCUGGCGGAGCAGAGGGGACAGAGGAAUACAGGAGAGGCCCAGGGAAAGCAAGCAGUAGCACUGAGGACGACAUCUCCAGUGACCGCUGCCUCCUGACUUUCACCAGUUCCCAAUGAGGCCGUCUAUGUUAACGGCUCUGGCAGGGGAAUCUAUCCACUGACAGUGUUAGAGUCCUCAGGAUCGGAUCAUUCUCCCAGACCCAUCAGCCGGGAACCAAGUCACUAACAGUUCCUACUCGGAAGACUCCCCUCGUUUGUGGGAAUGAAAGCAACAUUCUGGUUUAAGUUUCAGAACAGAAUUCAGAGCCCUGAGAGCAUGCCUUGUGCUUUGAGAACAGAAAAGCUUAGGAACUGAGAGCUCUAAGUAGCCGGCCCCUGGGGGUGGAGGUGGGGGUGAGGACCAGAACAGCGCCUAAUUUUGAAGGGAAACAGGAAGAGGUCUGAGUCACACUCAUCAGCUCUCACACCGGGAUCUCCAGGCAGCUACUUAGUAACUUUUCUAUCCUCCUCCUGUGCUGUGAAUCAAAGAGCUUAAGAUCCCAGGCUCUGGAGCCAGCCAGAAUUCUGGUGUGAACCCUAGUCCUGUCACUUUCUGGUUAUGAGACCUUGAACGGAUUGAUUAGUACCUCGAUUUCCCCUGCUGUAAAUGGGAUCAGUAAUACUGCGGACGUUUCACAGCAUGAGGGUUGAGUGAGUUAAUAAAAUGUGUUCACAAGAGAGGGAAUGCUAGCCAUCACAGUUUUAGGGCUGAAAAUGGCAUAGCCUAAGACCAGAUCAUUUUUCACCUGGACUAUUUCAUCUGUCUGUCUGUCAUAUAGAUCUAUGCUGACAGAAGUUUUUCUUUUUUCUUUUUUCUUUUUUUUUGG